CGCCUGUUUAUCAAAAACAUCGCCUCUUGCAUAACAUAAUGAAUAAGAGGUCCCGCCUGCCCUGUGACUAUAUGUUUAACGGCCGCGGUAUUUUGACCGUGCAAAGGUAGCGCAAUCACUUGUCUUUUAAAUAAAGACCUGUAUGAAUGGCAUAACGAGGGCUAAACUGUCUCCUCACCCCAGUUAAUGAAAUUGAUCUUCCCGUGCAGAAGCGGGAAUUAACACAUAAGACGAGAAGACCCUGUGGAGCUUUAGAUAACUAGAUGAAUUUAUUAAACAACAUAAACCAUAUAAAAGGUAAUUAAAACAAUAACCUCAUCUUAAAUCUUUAGUUGGGGCGACCGCGGAGCAAAACAAAACCUCCGUGAGGAUUGAGGUAAAAACCUUAUACCCAAGAACGUCAUUUCUAAGCACCAAAAUAUUUGACCUAUUAGAUCCGGCAACAGCCGAUCAACGGACCUAGUUACCCCAGGGAUAACAGCGCAAUCCUCUUUGAGAGUCCCUAUCGACAAGAGGGUUUACGACCUCGAUGUUGGAUCAGGACAUCCUAAUGGUGUAGCCGCUAUUAAGGGUUCGUUUGUUCAACGAUUAAAGUCCUACGUGAUCUGAGUUCAGACCGG
rnacentral:rRNA from 1 species